rnacentral:lncRNA from 1 species
AUUUAGGUUGUUUUUGAGCUCGUUGGACUCCAUUCGCCAUUUUGAAUCUUUUUCUAGAUUUAUUAUAGAUCGAAUUUCAAGAUAUUUUUCUCAACACAUCUUGUGCACAGAUUUCUAUCUUCUGCAAAGUAGUACUUGGUUUACGAUGCAUGUUUCAUAUAAUGGCUUAGGUUCCACCUACAGCUCAGGUGCCAGUGAUGUUAGGUUUGGAGAGACUG